rnacentral:lncRNA from 10 species
AAAAUAAAUGAAUUUAAGGGCUUUGAAUAUUUGAGAAUGGAGAGAUUUAAAAAUGUAAAGGUUUCUUAAGAUGGAUAGAAGACUUACCAAUUGGAUUUGUAUUCUGUGGAACAGGGAGGCUUGUGUGAGGCCUCUCUCUAGAAAACGCAGCUCUGUUUAAAGGGAAAAGUGCAGGCAGGCUGGCCAACCCACGUGAUGGCUCUUGAAGCUUCUCUUUUGAAUGGCCUGCUAGGACUUGGGCUCCGGAUUCACUGGCUAACGCAAGUCACGUGGCCAAACAUGAUUUGGUGGGGAGGGGAAGUGUACCCAGCACUGGAUGCUCUGCAUGUCACGUAGCAAUGGGGCAGGAUGGAUAAUCCUCUCACUGAGGGGAUGGUGAAUAACUGGAAACAGUGACCAAUCUGCUGCCGUUCACCAUCUUGGUUGCAAAUAUCACUCCCGUCUCUUGCAUGGGCGUGGUGGAUUGGAGAUGGCUGCAGAUUCUUAGUCAUUACUCUCAGCAAGACCUGGAGUCUUUUCCUCCUCCCCUUGGAUCUGGGCUGACUCCAGGACUGGCUUUCAUCAACAGGAUGCAGCAGAAGCGACGCUGUGUGACUUCCGAGGCUGAGGCUGCAGAGAUUUGAGGCAUCUGCUCUCACCCAGCUUGAAGUGCUUCCUCUUGGAAGCCAGCCACCGUGAAAAACCCCGCCAUGCUGUGAGGAAGCCCAAGAGAGCUGCAUGGAGAGAAGGGCCUGUGGAAGAGCCCUGAGGUGCCACUCACAUGAAGUGAACCUUUGUGGACCUUCCAGCCCAGCUACCAGCAAAACGCAAGCAGCGAGUCUCCAGGCCCAGCCUGCUUUUAACAAGACAGUGAAGAGUGGCAGUUAAAGGUCUGGCUGGCAUCAGACAGUGCUGAAUUCAAACACCAGCUGAGCUGAAAACGGCCUGACUGGGUGACCUUGAGCAAGCAGCCUGCCCUCUCUGAGGCUCAGUUUAUUUUCUGGAAGGGAGAAGACGGUGUCUACUUCCAAUGACCGCCAUGAUGUUUCAGGUUCAGCCCGAAGGGUGAGCAGCCAAUAAAGAGUGCCGAGAACGGCCUCUGGCCUGCCAGGUAGAGAAAUGACCUGAUUCCUUCCAGAAGUUUCCAGUGUUCCCAAGCUGAUGAGGCUCCUGGGAGAUGCCUCCAGAUCUCUUAACGUUCAGGGAAGCAUGGGCUCUGGUUGCAUUAGGGAGGAUUUAUUUUAUUUUUAAAGGAGUUGAGGCCACUUUGCAAUCAGAGCCUUCGUGGCUGGAGCUGGGCGAGCUGAGGAAGGAGUAUUAAUCAAGGCGCUUUAAGGACAUGCAAAUCAGGAGAAAGCUCAAGUGAUUAGGGUGUGAUGGGGCCUGGAGUCCAGCCUAUAUCCCCAUCUGAGAAGAGAGAGCCAGAGUGCCAGGCAAGGUGGCUCAGGCCCAGCUGGGGGCGGCAGCCAAGGGGCUGCCAUGGGGCCAGGAACUGUGGGUUGGGAGCAAUUGGAGGCAGAGGGAAGGGAGCCACUCCAAGGUGGCUGAAGGGUCCCUGAUGCCUGCGCUGUCCACAUGGUACUCUGGCUGGCUUCCCCGCCUCCCCCACAGCUGCAGAGGGGCUGCUCUGGCAUGAUCCCCUGCCUGGCUGGGACAGGCCCCUCUUCCUAAGGAUACAGAAUGGUUAUUUGGGUGAGAGGGGCCCACCGGCGCUGCUGGGGGCGGGAUGGCGAAUGUGACGUCAGCGAUCUGCGGUAUCUUCAGGGUGACAGCCGUACCCCCCGCGUGGGACCCAGGGCUCCACAUCUAUAGACCUGACCCAAGGAAAGACUCAGGCCUGUGCACAAGGAUGCCAUCUCGGGGACUGCGUAUUCAUAAGAAGCUGAAUCAAACAGUGUCCAACAAGGGGGGUUGUUCGAGCUGGUUAUGGGACGUGUUUACCACGGACGUUCAGGUCCUCCUGAGAAAUGACGACCUAGACAUGGGAAGAUGGUUGCAAUGUAUUGUUCCGCAAAGGAGAAAAAAAGCAGGUUGCAAAACCCUGGGAACUGUCUGCCCACCUUCAAAAAGUCGGUCAUAUAUCUAGAAAAAUCUGGAAGGGUAGCCACAAAAACAUCAUCAGAAACUGUUCUCUUGCUUGGCCUCAUACCUCCCCCAAUCUCCUUAAUACUAAAUAAAAGAUCCCAGUGGACCCUGAGAGGGACACCCCCGCAGCCCUCUCAGGAGUCCCCUUGCUAGCACAAAGCAGGUCUCCACCACCCAAGAGGCAGGCAGACCAGGUAUGGGGGUCAUUGACAGACCCUCACCCUGCCCCAUGCAUUUUUUGGAUGAUACAGAAAAAAAAAAAAAAACAGGUACGCAGUGAUCAUUCCAUACAAGAUAUUGGUAUAGGUCCUAUGUGGGUCCAGAUUUCUUCUCCUAAGCCUCUGAGCCAGAGGCAUUAGGGACUCAGUGUGUUCCGUGUAGAGGUGUAAAACGAUACCUAUAGCAUAGAUUAGGUAACACCUUAAGCAGGGCUGGGGCAGUCCCCAUAAUCAAACAUGUUAAUAGCUCUGCAGUGAAAUGUACAAAUGUUCACAUCAAGGGGAAUAAAUAAAACUAUAAAUAGCUUCCUGUCAGCUGAGGUCAGGUUUUGCCUCCAGAUGAAUUUACCACCAUCUUAACAAAAGGACUUCGGUUUUUCAGACUUUUUGUUAAUUGCAGAAUUCCAGUUAGGGGAUGGGGACCAGACGAGGAUCGGGGCUCUCAGGCGCGUUGGUUUGGCUGUCUCCCUGCAGGGUCUCCCCGGCAGCGGGGCUGGCUCUGUGGUAGAGCCACUUCCACAGUCACCCAGGGCCCCGUACAUGGCUGACUGUUCUGUCGUCACCAUCUUGAAAUUCUCAAUAAUUGUAAUUUUACCGCCCCGAAUUUUCCUUUUACACAGGGCCCGGCAAAUCGCGUAGCCAGUCCUGCCAGCAUCCAGAGCAAAGCCCAGCACAAGGACCAGGAGUGGGGGCGUUCCCGAGAAGCCAACAUGCAGGAGACAACAGCGACGGUGAUUUCCAAAGCUGAGGACAUGGAGCUGAGCCAACCAGGGGUCCAUUCCUCCCCUGAGAAAUAGACUCUCCCCUUCGCAAUCGGAGCCUGUGAUCCACGGAUCACAACGGGAGCAAUGUGUGAGGCAAGGGCAGCGACGUUGAGGGGCUUCUCAAAGCUGCAGGAAAAGUCCUCAAGAUUCUAGAAUGUUCGGCAUUGCAGAUGCUCCGGGAUGAGUCAAGAAUACUAAGAGGGAAGGAUGUCCCGAGCCCUGCUUUGGGAAAUGCAGAAUCAGAUGAGGCCUUCAGGCAGCUGGUACCCAUGGCUGUAGGUCGUGUCUCCGUUCUGCCCCAAAGGCAGGCUCAACCUCUCCGAGGGUUCUCAGAUGCUGUGGCCACCGGUGGCUGCAGGGCCUUCCUGCUAAGACCAUCCCAGGCGCCGGACACUGGGCAGGCUGAAAGCUG